rnacentral:rRNA from 1 species
UACGUAGGGUGCUAGCGUUGUCCGGAAUCAUUGGGCGUAAAGCGCGCGUAGGCGGCCCGAUAAGUCUGCUGUGAAAGUCCAGGGCUCAACCCUGGAAUGCCGGUGGAUACUGUCGGGCUAGAGUUCGGAAGAGGCAAGUGGAAUUCCUGGUGUAGCGGUGGAAUGCGCAGAUAUCAGGAGGAACACCUAUAGCGAAGGCAGCUUGCUGGGACGACACUGACGCUGAGGCGCGAAAGCGUGGGGAGCGAACAGG